UACGUAGGGUGCAAGCGUUGUCCGGAAUUAUUGGGCGUAAAGAGCUCGUAGGCGGUUUGUCGCGUCAGCUGUGAAAACCCGCAGCUCAACUGUGGGCUUGCAGCUGAUACGGGCAGGCUUGAGUUCGGUAGGGGAGACUGGAAUUCCUGGUGUAGCGGUGAAAUGCGCAGAUAUCGGGAAGAACACCCGUGGCGAAGGCGGCACUCUGGGACGGUACUGACGCUGAGACGCGAAAAGCGUGGGGAGCGAACAGG
rnacentral:rRNA from 1 species